CAUUUUGAUUCUGUUGAAUUUGGCCCUGCUUGGCUCAGGCUGGCCUAUGUACCCACUGAAGCAAUAGAAGUGAUGUUGCAAUUCCACUUCAGGGCCCCAAAAGCAAUUGUCACCCUCAGCAAAAAAAAAAAAAGACUAUGAGGAGAAAAACAAUUGGGAUAUUUUUUUGUCCUUGCUUCUCCCUAAAAAAAAUAUGCACCCCUCCCCAAAAAAAUUCUGUCCCCCCUCAAAAUUAUUGUAACUUUAAUUUCCCUCUUGAAAUCCUCUGUGUCUACUCCUGAGGGAAAUUGCCGGACAUUUCCUUUAGUGAUAACACUGUUAACGCUGAGAGAGUUUUCCUUGGUGAUCUUAAGCACUCCAUUUUAAUUCCCCACAUCUAGAAGUUAAACCUAAAAACCAUACUGAUUAGAAAAUGCAUGUGUGAUAAAAUGGCUGUUUCUUAUUUCUCAGUGGAUUUCAGAGCUUCUGCUGUCAAAAAAAUUCUUUUGAUAUUGACCCUCCCUAGUAAUGAACCCCUGCACAUUGUGUUUUAGGGUGCAUACGAGGGCCUCACCCUUGAACAUCCCCAAUUCUCUCUUGUGGCUGCACAUUACAGGGAAGAUCAAAUGGAUGAAUAAUUCUUGUCUUCUGUUACUGAGCUUCUGGUAACCUCCCCCCCCCCAAUAAAUCUUGGAGGAACACCAUUUGAAAACCCUUGCUAAAGCAGAUUAGCAACAUUCAUAGGGGAAAGAGUUGGUUCUCCAUUGAAACUAAAGUCAUUUUCACCCGUCACAAUGCUUUAAUGCCACACCAGAGGUUAGCUUUAUGCCCCCCACCAAUGAAAUGUUGGCCUCUCUCCUUUCUCCACCUAUACAAUAACCACGCAAAAAAGUAAAAGUUUGAUUGCUGCUCCAUGGUCCUCCCUGUGAACACGAUGGCACGACUUUGUUACACCCACCUGGGACUAGCUUUCCUUUCCUUUGCGGAGAAAAACACUCAUGUUCUGAUUGGGGGAGGGAGGAGUGAGGAACUUGCAAAACCUAUUCUGAUACUUUCAGCAUUAUCAGUUUGCUUUCUAGGCCAAAGUCCAAACAGUUUCUGUGGACUGAAUGAACUAACAUUAUGGGACUGCGCACAUGUUUACUCCCUUUCUGCCCAUAGAAUACAAUGUAGUUAGCUGCAGAAUAUAAAAGCUCCUAGUUGUAAUCUUGAGGCAACUAUAUUGUGAGGUAAAGCAAUAGUCAGUGGAUUUGGGUUGUGAGCAGAAAAAUGGAAAGGAAACCUGAGAGUGCUUCUGUCCUUUUUUGCAAGUUGUUUGUUUCAGUGGGUCUUGUGCAUAAGAACUUUCUGUUGGACUCUGCUAGUUCUAAGAACCAUAAUUUGUUUAAUAUGUUCCCACCAAAUUAUGUGAAUCUCAAAGAUACAAAGAGAUUUGUUAUUCUUGUUAUUAUUAUUUAUUAAUUAAAAUAGAUAAAAAUAAUGAAUCUACAAAAUGCGAGUACUCUCCAGUGUGGCUGGUUCUCAAGUUCCAUGUGUCACAGUGGUGGCAGUUUGCAUUUUGGCACAUGGGUUAUUUGCCUUGGAUUUGAUGAUGUGGGGAAGUGGGCCUUUCCCUGCCUCUCCAGAGCACUGUGGGGCACUUGUGCACCUUCUGGGAUUUCUCCGUUUUUUCGCUGAUCUUUCACAAACUUACUUUGUUGCAAAGUUGUGAGAAAAAUCACAGUAAAGGAUGGAGGGCUGCUACAUGGUAGGGAAUGUUUGCAUUUUCCUACCCAUGUGGCAGCCAUUUUUCCUGCUUCUGUCCCUUCAGCAGCCAUUUUUUUCCCCACCAUGGGGAAAGUCACAUAUUAUAUCAAUAUAAUGUUAUAACAAUCUGUGUUGUAACAGCUCUGUGAACUGCCAGCUUUUGUUUUUAAAAAGUAAUUCUCUAGCCCCUUUCUUGGUAGCAAUAUGCCUUUCUCUUUAUAACUUCACAACUUCACAACAAAAGAGGCUGAAGACUGACUUUUAAAAAAUGAAAGCUGGGAAUCCAGAGUACGCGAUGACACAGAUUAUUACAAUGUUCUGUCAAUAUCAUAUUUAAUUACCAUUUUUAAAAAACACAGAAACUGCAGCUCAACCUGCCAUGUGGAAGCCCCACUGCUGCUGCGGUGUAUCGGAUGCAACAAUAGCAACAGGGAAACCACGUAAGCUUGUCCCCAUGUGAAAACCGCCAUAGUCUCUAUAAACUGGGGCUUCUCUCAUAAAGAGAAAAAUAUACACAUGAUCUGCCUAAAAGCUUUCAGUUGAAAAUAAUUAACAUGCAAUGUCCUUGAGAAUGGUAGGAAAAGAGUGGAUUAGAUCGACCACUCUGUUAUCACAAAGUUUUCAUGUCUUUGAACACAUAGCUCUUUAAGAUUUGAUCAUACAGACAAAUGCUUUCCUGCUUGUGAAUUAAAGGCACAAGUAAGUAAUAGAAACUUUUAAAGGGUUUCAGAGAUCACUGUCUGUUUACUGGGAGCUGGGGACUGAGAAACUAUUCCAUUGGGAAGGAAAUGUAUAAGCAUAGGAAGAAUUUUGAGGCUGAAUUCUUGGGAUAGGGUUGCUGGAAUGCUCUAGUGUGAAGGAAGGGAAGAUGGUAAAGAGAUUAGCACCAGAAUGGACAAAAAUCAAGUUUCUUGCAGAAUUAAUGAGAUUAUUUUUCUUUUUGGACUGCAAAAGUUGCUGGAUAGUAUUCUGUACCCUCUAGAAAAGGGAUACUAGAGCCCUGAGUGGAUGAUCACACUGCUAUGUUCCCUCCUUUAGAACUAAUCUGCACUGACACACUAGUGCUAAUUCUAGUGGAGUAGCCAUGUUAGUCUGUUGUAGCAAAAUAAUACAAAGUCCAGUGGCAUUUUAAAGACUAACUACAUUUAUUCCAGUAUGAGUUUUCAUUAACCAGACCUCAGCUUAUACUGAAAUAUAAGUUGUUAGUAUUUAAGGUGCCACUGGACUUCUGUUUUGUUAUACUAGUGCUAAACAGUCCAGGCAGAUAGGGGAGAAAUAACAAAGAAAAUGUGUACAUCUAGUCUGGUGUAGUGCCUAAAGAGAGUGAGUUGUGAGCUGGUUAAUCUCUGGUUCAGAUCUCACAUUAUGCCAAAAAUUCAGUAAGUGCUCCCCCACAACAAUAGGGGGAUAAUAAUACUAACUUACCUUACAGUGUUUUUCAAAGGAUUACUGAGAUAACAUACAUGAAGCGCUUUGAACUCUCAAAAAGUACUAUAUAAAUUUUAAGUAUUACUUUUAUGUAUUUUCCAGGAUUAAUUUAAAACACCUUUUUUGCACAUAUUAGAAAUGGAAACAUGUGAACCCAUCCAGGCUAAAUACCGAGUAGAGUGAGAGAUCAGUGUGAAUGCACCCGCCCAUUGCUCCUUUUCCAAAGCUCAUCUUCCCUUUCCCUGUUUCCUUUUCCAUCCACAUCCAUUUCAAGAGAGGAAAGCCGAAUUAUGUGUUCUCCUGACUCUUGUGGCUUCCUCUGAGAAGAGAGGCCUGAUAAAUAGUCAGAAGUUAAUGAUCAAAAAGCUUAUCGGAGCCGUUUCAAAUAUAAAUUUAUAAGACAAAAGAGAAAUAAUAAAGCCACUGGAUAAUUAGUAACCAGACAAGUCCUGAGGCUGUAGAACUCAAACUGACCCCAAGAGCUCGACACAGAGUUGGGGAGAUGUGAAGCGGAAGAUGGGGAGAUGAGACUGCAUCAAAGGAAGGCAUACUGGUAAAAGGGGAAGUUUUGAAGAUGAACAUUAAGAGAGAGAAAGGAGAAGAGGAAGAUGAUUUGUGGGAGAAGAGGUCAAAAAGGAAGCAACGAAGAAGACAAAGUACUGGUGGAAUGAUGAGGGCUCUCUUCUUCCACUUCCAGGAGACCUGUAGCCUGCUAUGUGACCUCAAACAAAGGCCUUGCCAGCAGCCCAGAGCAUUUCUUCAGUUUGAACUGGCCCACCACUGAAGCGAAAAGGGUCUUGCUGUUUGGUGUAGAUGGUUAAUCAUUCAGGGGAACCUAUGGAACCAUGGGAAGCCCUUUGUGACUAGAAGAGUCAAAAGAUUGCAGAGUAAUCUAUAUGUGGAGAGUGGCAAGAUAAUUUGAGAGUCCUAAUGAGUCCUGCCCCAGAAGGCUUUAAAAGCAGGUAAAACCCUGGAUACUCUGGCAUACAGUAAAGAGCCUUUUAAUGCCUUAAUAAUCAAAUAGGACAGGAGAAGGAAAUUUGGAGUUUUAAAGCAGACAUUCCUACUGAGAGUUGCAGCUGCACCAGAGAACAUUGUAUGUGGCCAAAGGUACGUAUCAAAGAAAUCUCAAAGCUGAGACUUCAUGUCAUCUUGUGACCUUCUGGGGCUGGCGAGCUGCUCUUUAUUUAUGUUAUAGUUUAUUUAUGUUAUCUGCCUUAAGCUUCAGAUAGGGAGAUAGAUUCCAGUAGGCAGCAGAGGAACAAAAAUGAUAGGGAGAGGUACCAAACUAAAUUAGCUUUGUUUGAAUUAGCUUAAUUUACACAGAUUCUGUGUUUUGCAUAUGUAAACUUGUAGAGAAAUGUGUAACAACUGUGAUACCAGUUGGAGCUUCUUUUGCCAAUGAUUAAAUUGGGGGGAGGGGUGCAUGCCUGUUCUUGCCUGUGCACCAACUUGUACCCAUUUCUUCCCCUGCAAAAGCAAGUUAUAAAGGGGAUAUUUUUGCCAUACGUUGCUGCUUGGGCUUACUGAACUAAUUGUUCUUUAUUAGGGGCAGUCAGCACUAGUUUCUUUGCACUGGAAAAUUCUGAUAGAUGGGGAUGGUGGACUGUUGGAUUUCUGAGGGCCCUUUCCAAUAACAGCAUUAAGUAGAUUUUGACCUCCAAGUAGGUGAAAGCGUCAGUCUAUUUUUGCACUGUGGGAAGAUGACAUAAAAGAGUUUAGGUGGGACUUGCCUGUGUUUUCUUCUGCAUUUUUUGUUCCUUCUGUGGCGUAAUUUGCCUCAUAUUUGAUGCUUUGGGGAAGUGGGCAUUUUAGGGUUCUCAGCCUCCACAUGUGGCCUGGCGUUCUCCUGGAAUUGCAACUGAUCUCCAGAGAUCAGUUUCCCUGGAGGAGAUGGCACCUUUGGAGGGUGGGCUUUACGGCAUCACAUCCCUGCUAAGCUGCUUCCUGUCCUCAGAAUCCACCUCCCUUAGGCACCAUCCCCAUAUCUCAAGGAAUUUCCAAGCUUCCAGAAUUGGCAACCCUAGUUUUUUUCUGGAUUCUACACGGCAUUGUAGUGUAUUCAUGCACACUCUCCAUGAUGUUUACCUGGCUUCUCUCCAGUCUUCCUCAAAUCUGCUUUACUCCAAAGUUUUAGAAAAGAUUGCAGCAAUUCCUGGAUAAGUGCCAUGUGGGAGAGAAAGUUUGGAUUUUCCCAUUCCUAACCAUAUGGCAGACAUUUUUCCUGUGCCUGUGAUUGCAAUUUCCUUCCCUUUGGGUGGCUUUUUAAAAACUGGCAAUAGAACAUUGUUAUAAUGAGCUAACAAUUUAGCUUCUCUGAAUUCACAGUUUUAUUUUUUGUUAAGUCUCUAGCCACUUUCAUUGUGGAGAUAUAAGGGGAAAGACAUAUCUCUGCAACCAAAGAGGCUAAAGACUUUUAUUUAAAAUGAAAACUGGGAAUUCAAAGAAUCUGAUGAACAGAUUGUGUAUAACAAUAUUAAAUUACUAUUUUAAAAAACUGGAGAAGGAAAACUACUAGAAAGCUGCUAUGUGGAACACUUGCUGCUGCUUUCUAUUAGCAGCCAUAGUAGCAGUGCAAAAACUAUGCAAGCCUGUCCCUGUGGGCUUCAAAGAGCUAAUACUCAUGUCCUAUGUUGUUUUAUGUAAGGAUGCCAACUUCAGCAAUGGGAUAUUCCUGGAGAUUUGGGGAGUGAAGGUUAGGGAGGGCAGAGUUAGGGAAUGAGUGGGAGCUCAGCAGGGAUGUGAUACCAUAGGGUCUACUGGAGAAGCUGCCAUUUCCUCCAAGGGAACUGAUCUCUGUAAUUCAGAGAUCACUUGUAAUUCUGACGGAACUUCAGGCUCGUCCUGGACAUUGGCUAGCUUAACCACAUGGGAUUCUGUUGCAGGGGAGGGGGGCACUGAAGAAGUCAGAGGAAGCUGGAUGAAACCUUUACACAAAAGAAUGACACUUAAAAACUUUCUGUUCAGUCUUUUUGCGUUUAAACCUUUGGAACAGAGAAUGCUGCUGCUGCUGCCUGUUAGUUACACCUACCAAGAGUUAGAAAGUGCAACAUCUUUUCAAAAAGAAUUCGGACCAUGGUUUGACUUGCUUGUGUAAGCCAUCUGGCGGGGGCCUUAUGACUAUGCAUGCCCUCCUCCCAUUUCCCCUUGCUGCUUACAGCGGUGCACUGAUUUCUUUUGCCUUAAGUCCUAAAGGCAGCUCUGCCAGAUGACACGGUGUCUGUGCUUACUGCUUCAACUCCAUUGCUGACGUUUCGGGAUGAAAGAGAUGUUGCCUGGCCUGAUGAAAGAAAGAAAGAUCUCCAGCAGAUGGAGGAGAACUCUGUGCAGACGGAGUGUCAUUGGAUUGCUCUUAGCCAGCCUGUUCUCUCCUACAGAGCAAGAAAACAAGCAGAAUCUAUUUUGUUGGUUGAUAAUGAAAUGUCAUUGAUGGGCCCAAGUACAGAAGCAGCUGUGUGUUUUUGAGGACCAGGACAGUGUAGUUUUAACAUACCUGAAGCCAUUUCAAAUAGAUUUGUUUCAACUAUGUUUUUAACUGUGUGUUUUAUUUUUUUAUAAGCCACCUUGGGCUUUGUAGAAAGGUGAGAUAUAAAUAUUUUAAAUAAAUCAAUAGCACAGCUUUCUUCAGUAUAGGUGACAUGAGAUAUUUUAACCAGUGAAUGCUUCUACAUUACAACUCCCUAUAUUUAUGUGUAUCAUGGUUAGGUUUUCAGUCAAGACUAAGAAAAUAAUGGUUUGAGGUAGUUUAUCUGGUUUUGCUGUUUCUAAAGUGAUAAGCACAUUUUUAAAAAUCAAAUUCUGUUUAUUGUUUUCAAAAUCUCAAUGAUACAAAUAAGUUUUUACAAGGAUAAGUAUCUAUAAGCAAACAUUACAUUCAGUAUAUGUUUUCUAAAUCAUUGUACAUUCAUACAUUCAAAGAUAACAUAUAUAUAAGUCUCAUUUGAUCAAUGAUUAGAUCUUACUGUAUUGGAUACCUAUCCAAUUAUGUGCUGUUGUAUAUGAGCAUGUGAAGGUGAGUGCAUAUAUCCAGUAGUGGGGAUUUUGAUCAUAGUCACAUUUUGAGGUGAUAUAGAGAAAUGGUAUACUUUCAAUUUACCAUAGAUUUAGAUCUUUAGGUCUAGUUCUUUUGGGGAUCUUUUAGGUCUUCUGGGGAUUUCUUGUUGUUUCAUUAGGUAUUCUGGGUACCAGCUAGGUAUAAAGUCUCUUAAUGUUACCUGGGGGUCUAUGUGUGAGAGGUUGUCUGUGAUGGCAGCCAUAGUGUAAUUGUCCCAUGAUUUCUUAUACCGUGGAGAGGGAUCUGGAGCAUUUACAAUUUUCCAGCGAGUGGCAAUGGCUGCUUUGGCAGCUGUUAACAGGAUUGAAAACACGUACGUUCACAUACCAAGCACACUGGCGAAAAAUCUGUGACACACAACUAACAGAAGCUGACUGGAUAUCUAUAUGGAGACUACCCCCCCCCCCCCUCUGCAGGGACUAUGUUCUCGUCUCGAGUUUAUUCAUGUAUUCCUGCAAGACCUGGAGCUGAGCGUCGAUUUCAGAGAGGUCAGCUGGCGGGUCGUCAUAAAGAUUUUCUGUCAGGCGAGACAGCCAUGUUAAGAUACACACAACCAGAAAGGCUGGGGGUCGGGGUGGGGAGGCCUCCACAUACCCCAUAGGACAGCCCUAGCAUGGUGCCCAGUACCAACCAGGCAAGGAGACUGGCUGUGGGUGUGCCAUGGCCCAACAGCAACUGGCCCGUCCUGCACCAAAGGCACGAGUUGUUUUUUGGAAUCAGGCUCAAGGACACCCUCCCCGGGAUAGGUGACACUGAUGCCAAAGAUCAACAACCUGGGAAUUGUUCCCACAAUACCUUGCCCCAAGGAAGCCACCCAGCAUCACCCUGCUUUGCUUGGAAAGCCGCAGCCCUUGGGGCUAGGGCCUUCUCUUCACUUUGAGGUGGGCUUUCACUAGAUCAGAAAAUUGCUACAGGGCCUAGCACAGAAAGGAGGAAGUGCUUCUUCAAUUUAUCCUCCCAGGGUGAGGCUGAGAGCCAAGCUACAAGUGAUGCCGUACACAGGUUGUACACUUGUCAG